rnacentral:rRNA from 1 species
AGUGAACGCUGGCGGUAGGCCUAACACAUGCAAGUCGAACGGCAGCACAGUAAGAGCUUGCUCUUACGGGUGGCGAGUGGCGGACGGGUGAGGAAUACAUCGGAAUCUACUUUUUCGUGGGGGAUAACGUAGGGAAACUUACGCUAAUACCGCAUACGACCUACGGGUGAAAGCAGGGGAUCUUCGGACCUUGCGCGAUUGAAUGAGCCGAUGUCGGAUUAGCUAGUUGGCGGGGUAAAGGCCCACCAAGGCGACGAUCCGUAGCUGGUCUGAGAGGAUGAUCAGCCACACUGGAACUGAGACACGGUCCAGACUCCUGCGGGGGGCAGCAGUGGGGAAUAUUGGACAAUGGGCGCAAGCCUGAUCCAGCCAUACCGCGUGGGUGAAGAAGGCCUUCGGGUUGUAAAGCCCUUUUGUUGGGAAAGAAAAGCAGCAGGUUAAUACCCCGCUGUUCUGACGGUACCCAAAGAAUAAGCACCGGCUAACUUCGUG